rnacentral:lncRNA from 1 species
GAUUCUGAUCUCUGAAGCUGAGAGCGGUGACUUGUUUGCUGAAGUCUUUGAACAACCACCCCAAAGGUAUUCUCAGAUGCAAAUGGUUCUUGUCGCGAGUUCGAAACACCUGCUUACAGAAAAUUAAGCUGCAAAUUAUGGAAACGCUUGUUCAGUUUGUAGAGGGUGCCGUGUCACAAGUUCGGAACACUUGUUUAAGAAUAUAGAGUCGGAAAUUACCAGAAACGUUUGUUUGAUUAGUAGAGGAUGUCUUGUCAUGGGUUCGAAACAUCUGCUUAAGAAAAUCAAGCUGGAAAUUAUUGGAAAUGCUUGUUCAAUUAGUAGAGGGUGCCGUGUCACGAGUUCAAAACAUUUGUUAAGAAAACAAAGCUUUAAACCGCUUGUUUGGUUAGUAGAGGAUGUCUUGUCACGAGUUCGAAACAUCUACAAAAAUCAAGUGGUCUAAGUAUUCGGUCCGUCCACUUCUGAAUCCGGACAUUGACUAUACAAAAUAUAUAAUAAAAAGAAAUUGAUAUACCUAAUUUGCUAUAUAUCUAUUUUUUAUAAUAAUACACAUUCUGCGAUGGAUAUAUGUUUGUUUCAAUCCUUGCAUCUUGACUUGCUUGCUCCUAUAAAAUGAUAUGCUUUUCAUUUUGAUUACCAUAAAUUGAUAUUUUGAUUUUUAUAAGGGUUUUCUAGAAAAUAGUGUUGAAGUGCAUUUAUCAUGUUUCCUUCAAUGCAGAUGUUGAUGUUCUGAUGGAGAGAUAUAAUUUGCUUACAAUCAUUUGACAUAAGAGAUUGAACUUUGGUUAGCUUGCCAACCUACCCAACCAAGAGGUUCCUCUUAUGGAUGCAUGCAAUUCUAUCUUUUGCCUUCACUGGCUUAUAUA